UAAGAAUUUAAAAGUCGAACAGACUUAUUUGUUAGGAGUACUACCUCCUUCAAUUUUCUUAAUUCAACAUCGAGGUCGCAAAAUACAAUAUAGAUAUGAACUCCCCAUCGAAAUUACGCUGUUAUCCCUAAGGUAACUUAAUCUUACUUCCCUUUUUGGGAUCUUAAAUUACAUAGACAAAUGAAAAUUAUAACUAAAGUUAAUUAUUUAGCUGCCACCCCAGCAAAAUAUAAAUAAAAUAUUAGAGAGGUUAACUAGUAAAACUCAAUAACAUAAAUUUAUAUAAAGUUCUAUAGGGUCUUAUCGUCCCAAUAAAUUAAUAAAGCAUUUUAACUUCAAAUUUAAAUUCUAAUACUUAAAGGAAUAAAAUAUAAUUCUCAUCCAUCCAUUCAUACAAGCUCCCAAUUAAAAAACUAUUUACUAUGCUACCUUUGCACAGUCAAAAUACUGCAGCCAUUUAGAAAUUAAACCAUAGGGCAGAAGAUACUUUUUAUAAAAACA
rnacentral:rRNA from 1 species